AUUGAACGCUGGCGGCAGGCUUAACACAUGCAAGUCGAGCGGGGAAGCGUAGCUUGCUACUUGACCUAGCGGCGGACGGGUGAGUAAUGCUUAGGAAUCUGCCUAUUAGUGGGGGACAACAUCUCGAAAGGGAUGCUAAUACCGCAUACGUCCUACGGGAGAAAGCAGGGGACCUUCGGGCCUUGCGCUAAUAGAUGAGCCUAAGUCGGAUUAGCUAGUUGGUGGGGUAAAGGCCUACCAAGGCGACGAUCUGUAGCGGGUCUGAGAGGAUGAUCCGCCACACUGGGACUGAGAAACGGCCCAGACCUCUACGGGAGGCAGCAGUGGGGAAUAUUGGAAAAUGGGGGGAACCCUGAUCCAGCCAUGCCGCGUGUGUGAAGAAGGCCUUUUGGUUGGAAAGCACGUUAAGCGAGGAGGAGGCUACCGAGAUUAAUACUCUUGGAUAGUGGACGUUACUCGCAGAAUAAGCACCGGCUAACUCUGUG
rnacentral:rRNA from 1 species